rnacentral:rRNA from 1 species
UACGUAGGGGGCAAGCGUUGUCCGGAAUCAUUGGGCGUAAAGAGCGCGUAGGCGGCCCUGUAAGUCCGCUGUGAAAGUCAAGGGCUCAACCCUUGAAUGCCGGUGGAUACUGCAGGGCUAGAGUCCGGAAGAGGCGAGUGGAAUUCCUGGUGUAGCGGUGAAAUGCGCAGAUAUCAGGAGGAACACCGAUGGCGAAGGCAGCUCGCUGGGACGGUACUGACGCUGAUGCGCGAAAGCCAGGGGAGCGAACGGG